UCGGUUUUGAAUAUGAUGGUGAGACGGGACCCUGGCAACACUGAACCUGUGAAAGCCAAAGAGGAGCUGACCUUCCCCUGUGGACACAGGCGCGUCCGAGCCUCACCUUUAUUCUCUCAACACACUGCAGCGGACAAACGUAAAUUUCAGAGGUUCCUGACUGCUGCUGCGGCCCUGGUGGUGACAGUAUAUGCUCCAAUCACUUUUCCUUCUGCAUCUGUGCUGCUUUUCAAGCAGAAAAGCAAUGGAAUGCACAGCCUGAUUGCUGCUAUAGGCCAUGUGUUGUCAGUGGAUCCAGACAGAAUGGUGAUCAAGAGAGUUGUUCUGAGUGGUCGUCCUUUCAAAUUUUUUACUAAGAUGGCAGUCACACGUUGUAUGUUCUUCAGUAGAGAGGAUGUGCUGUGGUUUAAAUCAGUGGAAUUGAGAACAAAGUGGGGCCGCAGAGGACACAUCAAGGAGCCUUUAGGUCCUCGUGGUCACAUGAAGUGCAGCUUUGAUGGGAAGCUAAAAUCUCAGGACACAGUACUGAUGAGCCUCUAUAAACAAGUUUUCCCCAAAUGGACUUCUGAUCCACGUGCACCAGAACCACCACUGUGGGUGAAAAGUGAGAUUUCUUCAACAGUGCCUAAAGUGGGUGUGGAGUGAUGGAUUUAAAUAAAUUCUGUUUUGCCGGUGCCAGUUACCAUUCUAGGGAUGACAGUGUACAGGUUGUGAUUGGGCAAAGUUUGUUUUCUCUGUUAGCCUAUCAUCUGCUGUCCUAUUUGCAAAAGACUUUGCAUGGCCUUGACACUGUGUCUCAGUGAAGUAUAAAAGUUUUUCUACUAGUACAUAAUCCAAAAAAUUAUUACAUUUUUACUGAAAUA